CGUGACGAUACCAUCAGGAAAUUAUCCCAGUGGAACUUCAACCCGGGCUGUCCAUCGUGACAUUCCGCCUCCUUCCACCAUGCCAGCCUCUCCCACACGGGGCCCUGCAGGCUGUGGAUAUGCACUCAGAGGACUAAGGGGGUGCUCUGCAAGCGAGAGGGUUCACCAGAGGGAGCUUGGGUGCAGGUUCACCCGCUGAAGGCGCUGAUAAGUCCUGUGCUGAGGAGCUGACUUGCCCUUGUUUACUUACAAAGUGCAUUGUAGGUAAACAUGAGCCUUGUUCCAGUGUUCGAAGUACAUUGGAACGUAAGCCCUGUUUCCAGAGCAAAGUAACAGAGACCAGGUUUUUCUAGAGAGCUAAGUGGGAUGUGUAGCUCAAACAAACUGUCCUACCCUUUUUUAUUCUCAAAUGUUUGUUUUGAGUAACCGUAGUGCCAAAAUUUCAGUUCAGUAAUGGGGUGAACAAUAUGGAGAGAGACCUGGGAAAAGUCCAGGGUAGCUUGCCCAGGGGAAGACAGCAGCCACAUACCUGGGGGCCCGCCUGCUUCCUGCCCCUCUGGGUGUGCCUGAUGCGGGAGGCCCUGCCCCAGGGCGAUCUCAGCUCACUGCAACCUUUGCCUCCCAGGCUCAAUCACUUCUGCUGCCUCAGCCUCCCUAGUAGCUGGAAUUACAGGCAUGAGCCACCACGCCUGGCUAAUUUUUGUAUUUUUAGUAGAGACCGGGUUUCACCAUGUUGGCCAGGCUGGUCUCGAACUGUUGGCCUCAAGUGAUCCGCCCGCCUCAGCCUCCCAAAGUGCUGGGAUUACAGGCGUCAGCCACCGCGCCCGGCCCUGUGCCUUGCUUUUUCUACUCACUAAGAUAUAAAACAGCUCUUUUUCCAAGGCCCGGAGUACUGGGGAUUGAUGUUUCAAGGCCAAUCAAUGGGAUGCUUCGUUUUCUCCAGCAACAGGAACUCUCUCUUUUCACCUUUGCUGCCAGGAAUCUCAGAGAUAAUUUAGUGCUCAAUUUACUAACCUUACUUCACAUUCAGGUUAGAUGUUACCUCCACCUAUAUGAUAGUAAUUCCUAAUUUUAUUUUUUAUUGUCCUUUUUAUGAGUGUUUAUAUUUUAAAGUACUUUGAGUAUUUUUGGGGGGGGUGUAAAUGAGUGAUCAGUGUACAUUGUGUGUGGACUGAAGUGUAGGUAUGUAGAGAUGCUUCGCCAAACAGAUGCUUAAAAAUGAAUGGAAGUUGAGGGUGGUUUCUCUUUGGAAAGUAUCAGGUGACUUGGAAGGUGAGAGCCUGUCCAGGGUGUGUGCAC
rnacentral:lncRNA from 1 species